AUUGAACGCUGGCGGCAUGCUUUACACAUGCAAGUCGAACGGUAACAGGCCGCAAGGUGCUGACGAGUGGCGAACGGGUGAGUAAUGCAUCGGAACGUGCCCAGUCGUGGGGGAUAACGCAGCGAAAGCUGCGCUAAUACCGCAUACGAUCUAUGGAUGAAAGCGGGGGACCGUAAGGCCUCGCGCGAUUGGAGCGGCCGAUGUCAGAUUAGGUAGUUGGUGGGGUAAAGGCUCACCAAGCCAACGAUCUGUAGCUGGUCUGAGAGGACGACCAGCCACACUGGGACUGAGACACGGCCCAGACUCCUACGGGAGGCAGCAGUGGGGAAUUUUGGACAAUGGGCGCAAGCCUGAUCCAGCAAUGCCGCGUGCAGGAUGAAGGCCUUCGGGUUGUAAACUGCUUUUGUACGGAACGAAAAGCCCUGGGUUAAUACCCUGGGGUCAUGACGGUACCGUAAGAAUAAGCACCGGCUAACUACGUGCCAGCCGCCGCCGUAACAC
rnacentral:rRNA from 1 species